UACGGAGGGUGCGAGCGUUGUCCGGAAUCAUUGGGCGUAAAGGGCGCGUAGGUGGCCCGGUCAGUCCGUGGUGAAAGCGCGGGGCUCAACCCUGCGUCGGCCAUGGAUACUGCCGCGGCUGGAGCACUGUAGAGGCAGGCGGAAUUCCGGGUGUAGUGGUGGAAUGCGUAGAUAUCGGGAGGAACACCAGUGGCGAAGGCGGCUUCCUGGACCUGUUCUGACACUGAGGAGCGAAAGCGUGGGGAGCGAUCCGG
rnacentral:rRNA from 1 species